UGAUCCCCUGCUCAGAUUGAACGCUGGCGGCAUGCUUUACACAUGCAAGUCGAACGGCAGCGCGGGGCAACCUGGCGGCGAGUGGCGAACGGGUGAGUAAUAUAUCGGAACGUACCCAAGAGUGGGGGAUAACGUAGCGAAAGUUACGCUAAUACCGCAUACGAUCUAAGGAUGAAAGCAGGGGAUCUUCGGACCUUGUGCUCCUGGAGCGGCCGAUAUCUGAUUAGCUAGUUGGUGAGGUAAAGGCUCACCAAGGCGACGAUCAGUAGCUGGUMUGAGAGGACGACCAGCCACACUGGAACUGAGACACGGUCCAGACUCCUACGGGAGGCAGCAGUGGGGAAUUUUGGACAAUGGGCGAAAGCCUGAUCCAGCAAUGCCGCGUGAGUGAAGAAGGCCUUCGGGUUGUAAAGCUCUUUU
rnacentral:rRNA from 1 species